CUGCUUGGUUGGAGCAAAAGCCUGCACCCACACCCACACCGGCCCUUUCUGGCCCGAGUUGAGAACCACUGAUCCAUACCCAAGAAAAAAAAAAUUAAGAGUAGGCGUAGACCAUCGGCUCGGUUGUGAUUCAAGUUCGUUACAGCAAACUGGUUGCACAGUGGACCUUAUACUCGGUCUGAUCUGUCUUGAACUGCUAAUUUUCCGUUGGACAGGUAGCCGCACUUGGUUAAAAGCUGUUCUGAGAAAUACUACGGGGACACCAGUGGCGUAAUACAUAGCUUCAUUUUUACAAGGAUUGAAGGAUUACCAGCAUUCACAUCUUUGGAAAAGAGGACCCAACAGGCGCUGAUGUACUGUGUGCAAGAACAAGCCAGAGUGCCACUGACUGGGGUGUUUCCUGGAGUUGGAGGGUUUGUGGGAGUGUACUGUGUUACCUCAGGAUGCCUGGCACCUCCCCCUCUUCGCACUUGCGCUUCCCUAUCACGUCUCCUGUCUGUUCUGGUGGAAUGACCUUCCCGUGGAGGUCAGAACAGCUGAGACCCUGACCACCUUCAAGCGACUGAAGACUCACCUCUUCAGGCUGCACCUCUCCCCAUCCUCCCUACCUCCCUGUAAUCUCUAACUUGACUGUAAGUUUAGGGUUGUAACUAGGUAGCUGUUUCUUAGUUAAUGCACUCGUGUCUUAACUAAUGCUUGUAUUUUUAGCAUAGACUGCAUUGCUGCUGUUCUUGUUUGUGUUAGUGUUAAUCAGAUUAACCUACAGGGUCCAAUUAAACUAUGCGGUUGUUCCCUGCA